rnacentral:tRNA from 1 species
GGCCCGGUAGCUCAGUAGGUAGAGCAGGGGACUGAAAAUCCCUGUGUCACUGGUUCGAUUCCGGUCCGGGCCACCA